CCGGGCUGAGAGUGGACGGCUUCCACGGCAGCCACGCGCCACCCGGCGGCCUGCAGCGCGUGGAUGUGGCCGUGUGCACCAUCGAGAAAGCCAACAGUCUAGUCAACAGGCUGAUGGAGGAGCGGACGCUGUUCCGGGUCGGCUGCCUGGUAGCAGACGAGCUGCACCUGCUCGGGGACCCACGCCGCGGCUACCUCCUGGAGGUGCUACUCACCAAGCUGCUCUUCAUGAACAGGGCGACUGAGAGUCCGGAGCGCCGUAUCCAGCUGGUGGGCAUGUCGGCCACGCUGCCGAACCUGGCGCUGCUGGCCGGCUGGCUGUCGGCCGGUCUCUACG